rnacentral:rRNA from 1 species
UCGGGAAUUUUGGGCAAUGGGCGAAAGCCUGACCCAGCAACGCCGCGUGAAGGAUGAAGUAUUUCGGUAUGUAAACUUCGAAAGAAUAGGAAGAAUAAAUGACGGUACUAUUUAUAAGGUCCGGCUAACUACGUGCCAGCAGCCGCGGUAAUACGUAGGGACCAAGCGUUGUUCGGAUUUACUGGGCGUAAAGGGCGCGUAGGCGGCAAUUCAAGUCAUCUGUGAAAUCUCCGGGCUUAACUCGGAACGGUCAGAUGAUACUGCUUUGCUAGAGUGCAGAAGGGGCAAUCGGAAUUCUUGGUGUAGCGGUGAAAUGCGUAGAUAUGUGGAGGAAUACCGAUGGCGAAGGCAGCCCCCUGGGCUAACACUGACGCUCAUGCACGAAAGCGUGGGGAGCAAACAGGAUUAGAUACCCACGUAGUCCCUGAGCGGGCUGGCAAGGCGCAU